rnacentral:rRNA from 1 species
GGAUUAGAUACCCUGGUAGUCCACGCUGUAAACGAUGAAUACUAGAUGUCUGGGGAAUCGACCCCCUGGGUGUCGCAGUCAACGCAUUAAGUAUUCCGCCUGGGGAGUACGGUCGCAAGACUAAAACUCAAAGGAAUUGACGGGGGCCCGCACAAGCGGUGGAACAUGUGGUUUAAUUCGACGCAACGCGAAGAACCUUACCUGGAAUUGACAUCCCGUGCUCGACCUAGAGAUAGGUAAUUUUCUUCGGAAACACGGAGACAGGUGCUGCAUGGCUGUCGUCAGCUCGUGCUG